GGGCUAGGCAGGUUUCUGCAGCACCCACUUCCCAGUGGAAAAGUGCAGGAUUCCCAAAGACUGUUGAGCAAGAGGCUCAAAUUGUCUUCAGAUUGGGUCUAAUCUAGCUAGAACCAUUCGGGAUCCAGGAUGAAGCUGGAUCCAGUUACAGACCUCCCUGAGAAGUGAAGAGAGGUCCAGAGACACCUACAUCUCCAGCUGACACGGUCUCAAGGGUUCCAGGGCCCUCCCUCAAGGCGCGGACUUCGUGAGAAAUGGACCCACAACUCAGGAGCCGAAACAGACACACCCAGCCUGGUGACGUCCCCACCAGCCAGUGACCCGCGGCAGCCCACUCUCACUGAGAGGAAGAAGAAACUUCCCCCUGGCUUCCCAAAGACCACCACCACUGCUCAC